rnacentral:rRNA from 1 species
GGUUGCGAUCAUACCAGCACAAAUACACCGGAUCCCAUCAGAACUCCGCAGUUAAGCGUGCUUGGGCGAUAGUAGUACUAGGAUGGGUGACCCCUGGGAAGUCCUCGUGUUGCAACCC